GACGUUGUGCGUAUAGCAUGCACUGUCGAUGUCUGCGCUUUGAGACUACCGAGGGCCUACUGUGCUGGCAUAGGCUGCGCCUAGUCUAGUCUUUUAUAGCUGUGAUCUGAUCAUGAUGAUCUGUAUAGUUACUCCGGAGACCGACGUGACAGCUUUUACUAGAGCUAGGACCUGAUCAUGGACCUACUACAAAUUAUAUGAUCAACGCUUUAGGAAUUGCAGUAAAAAACGUGUUAAUAAGUCUGAGCCCGCAAAAUCUUUUGUGUGGGCUUUAGUUUUAUACGUCAGUCACGCUACUUCACCGACUACAGUUACUGUAUUCACCGAAUGUUUCUUGGCCAUUCACCUUAUAUACCAGCACUUGUGCAGCAGCACUAACUCGGAUGGCGUGAUGUCUCAAAAAUAGGCAAACUACAGUUCGCUUUAAUUAGCAAAAGGCGAGACGAAAGAGCAAAUGGGAACAGGCCUACAUGAAUGUGUUAGCAAGGAAAGAUCUCAUUACAAAAACAAAUACGUUUCCUUUAGUGAUAACUCAACGUCCUUACUAGAUCUUUUGUCCUUAGUUUAAAUAGGGAUUAGCAAUCUUCAGUUCAGUGUACCGUGUGAAUCAAACUUCAAAGUACAUUGAUAAGUGCUCGCACCCAAACUUCUUAUUAUCACAAUUAGAUAAAACGUGACUGAGAUCGUCGAGGAAGUUUGUGUUUUGCUUGUUUAAGCUUGAGCUACAGUUGAAUUGUCUCCAUCAUAAGACAUUAUCACCAUUGCGGUCGAGUGAUUAUGUAGUUGAGUGAGUGCACGAGUACGGUCACUCUUGCCCCAAAAGUGAGUUAUAUAGGCUAGGCAUCCACGGUGUCUCCGGCGAGCUGCAGGAAACAGUCAUUGAGGCACGCACGCCUCCAUCUCUAUCUCUCUCCCUUUCUCUCUGCAAAUCACUUUAAUUUAUCACAAGCAUAAAGCUACAUGUUAUAAGAAUGGAGGAGCAAGUUGUGAACAUGGAUGUGCCUCUGUAUUACCCAUCUUUAUGGACCCUUGGUGUGGCGGGCUGGGUAGUCUGGCCAGGUUUAUACUUCGUUUUUUGGUCGUAUUUCUCGAAGAAGUACCCGCCGUAUCUUGCAUGUGGAACGUCUAUGAGAUUAGUCUCCGUUGUCCAUGCAGUUUUUCAGUUUAUCUUGGCAUCUAUUAUCAUGUCAAGGACGUACAAGGAUGUCUUCUUUGCUGAUUGUUCGUUAUUAGAUCAGCUCACUGUUUUCGCUAUUGCAUACUGGGUUUACGAUGUGGUGAUUAUGUACAAGUCGUACUGCCUGGAGAAUAGGUUGAUGAAUACACCGUUUUUAACAACGUUCGUACCAUUCUUGGGGAUAAUCCUUUGAUCAUUAUCCACCACGUCGCAGUCCUUGCAGGAAGUGUACCCCUUUCCUUGCAUUACCGGUUCGGUAAAGCUGCCUUCAUGAUUGCGAGUGUGCAUUUUACCGAAUUAAGCGCCCCGUUUCUCUGUAUUAGAAAGAUUUUUAUAAGGCACGGCUACACCGACAACCUUAUAUACAGGAUCAACACCGCCCUCGCAAUUGUAACCUUCUUCUUAGCUCGCAUCAUCCUCUUUCCCUCCAUAUACCUCAUCUAUGCCUACACGUACAAUCAGACUCUGUGGGAGGUCGCGACCUCCAUGUACUUUGGCUGUCACUUUGUCAUGUUUACCGUGACGGUGUUGCAGAUGUCGUGGUUUGUCAUUUUCAUAAGGACAGUCCUCAAAGACCGCUCGUCCAACUCUUUCCUGGACAGCCACCGGAACGCCAACGGGCACAAGAUCAAGAGGGAACAGAACGGAUACCAGAAUGGACACGACGUCGGGCACCCAAAGACGGCGAAGAAAUCCGAAUAGCCAGUGUUACUAGUACCGGUACUUACUAUAUUUAAGCGGUCAUAAUUAAGAGAGGGAUGUCCGAGUUACAUCGUAAAACCGAUUCGAAACCGACUGUUCCUUGACUGUGAUAUUUGUUUUCUUGGUAUACUGUCGGUCUCGAUGGUAUGACUGGGGUAUUUAAUGCCACAGUCACACUGACAAAUACCGAUACGUGACUGGCAACAGACCGAACAAAAAAAUUACAUUGCUCUGAAUGGCCAAUAUUUGUGCAUUAUCUAUCCUAUCUAGGUGUGACUGGGAUACUUUUUGUGUAAACCAAACAAUAUACUAAUGAUUAAGCAAUCAUACAUUAAAAAAAAGUAUAAUAUUGGCUGUUUUUAUCAGUGAUAUCUCUGAGGUUGAAGUGUAUGAAGCACCAUCUUCUGAGAUUUUGAUCACUUCAAAUGUUGAAAUAAGUGUCAUUUUGAAGUUUCAACUCAUAGAACUGUGUACGCCAUUGGACAAUCACGUCCUGGACGUCAUUGAAGAUGAAUGUUCAAUGCAAAUGUCGUUUUAUGAAUAUGUAUAUUUACUUGUAUGCAUUAUACGACACGAGAAUUCUAAGAUAAUACCCAUGCAGUCACAUCACCGAGACUGACACCAGAUCGAACAAACGUGCAUUAAAGCCCCUC